AAAGCUUGCUGGAAGAAAAGAUCAGCACCACCAUUUAGUCUCUGCCCUGGCGAAGGUUUGUGGCGGCAAGAUUUUCCGGCUAGCAUUGUCCAGUAUCUGCGUUUUCUAGCCGUGUGUCCACAGGGGCGACAUUGUAUUAGAGUAAAGGACUUUGAUUCGGGACGGUAUCUCGACGAGUAUCUUGAUUACCGGAUUUGACCAUUUUAUUGGAGGCGGAUACUUUGACUUAUGUCUUUUGAUAUGCAUAAUAAAGUGUUUAACAUAUAGCAAUGAUUGUAUUUUU